rnacentral:rRNA from 1 species
GAUGAACGCUGGCGGCGUGCCUAAUACAUGCAAGUCGAGCGAACAGGCGAGGAUCUUUCUCCUCUGACGUUACCGGCGGACGGGUGAGUCACACGUGGCUAACCUACCUAUAAGACUGGGAUAACUUCGGGAAACCGGAGCUCAUACCGGAUAAUAUAUUGAACCGCAUGGUUCAAUAGUGAAAGACCGUUUUGCUGUCCCUUAUAGAUGGAUCCGCGCCGCAUUAGCUAGUUGGUAAGGUAACGGCUUACCAAGGCAACGAUGCGUAGCCGACCUGAGAGGGUGAUCGGCCACACUGGAACUGAGACACGGUCCAGACUCCUACGGGAGGCAGCAGUAGGGAAUCUUCCGCAAUGGGCGAAAGCCUGACGGAGCAACGCCGCGUGAGUGAUGAAGGUCUUCGGAUCGUAAAACUCUGUUAUUAGGGAAGAACAAAUGUGUAAGUAACUAUGCACGUCUUGACGGUACCUAAUCAGAAAGCCACGGCUAACUACGUG